rnacentral:rRNA from 1 species
UCGAGGGGCAGCACAGGUAGCAAUACUGGGUGGCGACCGGCAAACGGGUGCGGAACACGUACACAAUCUACCUUUAUCUGGGGCAUAGCCCGAAGAAAUUCGGAUUAACACCCCAUAAAAUAACAGAGUGGCAUCACUUAAUUAUUAAAACUCCGGUGGAUAGAGAUGAGUGUGCGUCCCAUUAGCUAGUUGGUAGGGUAACGGCCUACCAAGGCGACGAUGGGUAGCUGGUGUGAGAGCACGACCAGCCACACGGGCACUGAGACACGGGCCCGACUCCUACGGGAGGCAGCAGUGAGGAAUAUUGGUCAAUGGACGCAAGUCUGAACCAGCCAUGCCGCGUGAAGGAUGAAGGCCUUCUGGGUUGUAAACUUCUUUUAUUGGGGAAGAAAAUUAUGGUUUCUACUAUAACCGACGGUACCCAAGGAAUCAGCACCGGCUAACUCCGUGCCAGCAGCCGCGGUAAUACGGAGGGUGCAAGCGUUAUCCGGAUUCACUGGGUUUAAAGGGUGUGUAGGCGGAUAUUUAAGUCAGUGGUGAAAUCUCCGGGCUCAACCCGGAAACUGCCAUUGAUACUAUUUAUCUUGAAUCUUGUUGAGGUAGGCGGAAUAUAUCAUGUAGCGGUGAAAUGCUUAGAUAUGAUAUAGAACACCGAUUGCGAAGGCAGCUUACUAAACAAGCAUUGACGCUGAGGCACGAAAGCGUGGGGAUCAAACAGGAUUAGAUACCCUGGUAGUCCACGCCCUAAACGAU